AAGAUUUUAGUACUAACCUGAGUAGUUUAUCUUUUUUUCUCUUUCAUGUUCGAGGACGAGCAUCGUCUAAGCAUUUGAGAGGAGUCAUCACAUUAUCUCUGACUACUGCUGUAAACUACUAUGUUCCAAGUAGUUCUGAGGAGCAAAAAGAAAAAAAACAAGAAAGAAGAGAAAAAGGAAUAAAAAGAAAAAAAAUAAAAGAUAAAAAAAAUAAAAUGCUCCUCAGUUCUUUGAGCCUCAUUAAAGUUCCCAAUGCUCUCAAGAUUAAGGAUUGAUCCAUACUCAUUUUUUCCAAUCAUGUGCAAUCCGAUUACGAAAACUUCAUUUGUGUCUCUGUUAUCGGCAGUUAGCACGCCAGUUUGAGUCGCAAGCGCACGGAUCAAUUGUAGCUUUUCCCUUAGAGUAUUCCCCUAAGGUUUAUCAAUCCAUGAAAACUAGGUCAUAGGAUCUAGACUAACUAAGCAUCAGAAAAUAUGAUUCGAGUUGUAAAGUGAUUGUGAAUAGGCAUGAAUAGACAUGGAUAGGUAAGAAGCAUGGGUAGAUAUGAACAAGAGGUAACUCAUCUGGAGCAAAGCGUAGACUAUGCAGAUGUUGUAGUUCUAACUAGAUGGCAAGCAAACACAUGGUCCUCAUUCAAAGCAUCUUUAAACCACCACUUCCAGUUGUACUCCCGAAAACCCCCACCUUACACAGCAUCAGAUCCUGUCACAAUCAUGUCUAUCAGUGCAAGUAGUCUAAGGGCAUGAACAUAAAACACAUGUCUAGCUGUUAUGAUAGAUCAGGCAUGCAAUUCUAGUCACCAUGACUACAAGAACACCCUAUGCAAUCUACUACGUAAAUAAAUUGGAAUAAACAAACUCAUAACAGGAGAAAUCAUAAAAGGAAACAUAUAGAUCGCUAUUGAAUCGGAACAAAUCUAUUACUUCACCAUGAAAGAUUGGUCAUCACAAGAUCUCCACCGAGGCC
rnacentral:lncRNA from 1 species